ACAUAGGGGACGGAGGAAAAGCA
rnacentral:piRNA from 1 species